UGAGAACGAGAAUAAUGAGAAUAUGAGUUAAUGAACAGUGUAUGCUUACUUGGUGGGAGUGUGAGUGAGGUAUUUAUAGGAGAGUAGAGGCGAGGCUCUGGACUCAUGCUAGUGGGACCCACUCUGACAUUACGGCUCUGUCUCCUGUCAGGAAGGUCUGACUCUGACACUGUAGCCGCCUGGGAGUGAUGACGGAGGAUAUGGUGCAGGUGCCAUUAAGUGCUCCCAGUGCUUUUCAGAUAAAGUACUGGUCUUGGAUGAUGUCAGAUGGGUUGACAUCAUCAGCGUGCAGCCGAGGUGGAGGUGCCGAGGUCACCUACACGGUUGACUACGGAUCCGGCCGAAGUCAGGGACGAUGCCCAAGACAUGGAUGGACUCUGAAGAAG
rnacentral:lncRNA from 1 species